UUUUAUAGCGGGGAGGUGUUCCCUGCACAAGAUCUCUUUCUUUGCUUGCUGCCAUCCACGUAAGAUGACUUGCUCCUCCUUGCCUUCCGCAAUGAUUGUGAGGCCUCUCCAGCCAUGUGGAACUUACCUGUAGUACUUGAAUACGAUCAGCAUCCAGCUUUGUCAACAACUUAGAAGCAGAAUCCAGUUCAUUAAGGAGCACGCAGUCACAGCUAGCUUCCUGUUUGAAGAAAAAGAAAACAGUCCCUUGUUCAAAUAUCAUAAUUCACCAAAAUCUCACCAUGUUUUUCAUUUUUUUCUAUUAUAAAUUUACGUUAAUUGCAUGCUGCUUAAAUGUGGUUUUACAUAUUUACUCUCAGCAGCUCACUUUUAGAGCUACAUAUAUUUUCC
rnacentral:lncRNA from 10 species